rnacentral:rRNA from 1 species
UACGAAGGGGGCUAGCGUUGUUCGGAAUCACUGGGCGUAAAGCGCACGCAGGCGGAUUGAUAAGUCAGGGGUGAAAUCCCGGAGCUCAACUUCGGAAUUGCCUUUGAUACUGUCUGUCUUGAGUCCGGGAGAGGUGAGUGGAAUUCCUAGUGUAGAGGUGAAAUUCGUAGAUAUUAGGAAGAACACCAGUGGCGAAGGCGGCUCACUGGCCCGGUACUGGACGCUCAUGUGCGAAAGCGUGGGGAGCAAACAGG